AUUGAACGCUGGCGGCAUGCCUUACACAUGCAAGUCGAACGGUAACGGGCCUUCGGGUGCCGACGAGUGGCGAACGGGUGAGUAAUGUAUCGGAACGUACCUUUCAGUGGGGGAUAACGUAGCGAAAGUUACGCUAAUACCGCAUAUUCUGUGAGCAGGAAAGCAGGGGAUCGCAAGACCUUGCGCUGAUUGAGCGGCCGAUAUCAGAUUAGCUAGUUGGUGAGGUAAAGGCUCACCAAGGCGACGAUCUGUAGCGGGUCUGAGAGGAUGAUCCGCCACACUGGAACGGAGACACGGUCCAGACUCCUACGGGAGGCAGCAGUGGGGAAGUUUGGACAAUGGGGGCAACCCUAAUCCAGCCAUGCCGCGUGAGUGAAGAAGGCCUGCGGGUUGUAAAGCUCUUUCGGCCGGGAAGAAAUCGUAUCAGCUAAUACCUGGUGCGGAUGACGGUACCGGCAUAAGAAGCACCGGCUAACUACGUGCCAGCCGCCGCAGUAAUAC
rnacentral:rRNA from 1 species